rnacentral:rRNA from 1 species
AUGAAUUAUGCUUAUGUAUAUGAACUUUCUAUAGUUCCUUAUGUUAAGAAUGAAAUUGUUGCUAUUGCACCCACACAUGAUAGUACUAUUAUCUUUUUGAAUUCUCCAAACUACACUAUAUCGGAGAAGUUUGCACUUAUUAAGGAUUACAUUGACGGGUUUCAUUUUACCGUUGCACAUGAUGAUUUUGAUGAAUGUAAUAUGCAUGUUCUUGCUGCUCCUACUUGCAAUUAUUAUGAUAUAGGAACUAUAUCUCCACCUCUCUAUGUUUCCAACACGACAAAAUUGCAAGAAACUCUUAUGCUAUGUAUUGGCCUUUACUUGAUGUGCAUGAAUUGUUCUUUUAUGACAUGCCGAUGCAUAGGAAGAGAGUUAGACUUCGUCAUUGCAUGA